rnacentral:tmRNA from 1 species
UUUGGAUUCGACGGGGAUUGUUCGAGCAUGAGUAGCGGGUCGUGGGGCUGCGGACACGUUAAUAACGCGGGCGUAAAUAUAAACGCAAACAAAAACAACAACCUCGCUCUCGCUGCUUAAUUGCAGCUAGGCCGUUCUGUUCGCUAUCUCCGGUGUAGCGGGCGGGACGUCAUCCAAGCCGGAUAGUCUGGACAUAUCGGUCUGUGUAUGCCAGGCGAAACUCAGCAGACUAGCUGAUCACCAGCCUGUCCCUCGGCGGGUGUGAGGCGAAACUUUAAGUAGAGCGGACUGCACCCGGAGAAGCUUAUGUGGCGAGGUCUUCGGACAGGGGUUCGAUU